rnacentral:lncRNA from 10 species
CCGUUUUGGUUUCUCACCGUGGAAGCUUUGUUCUUUUGGUCUUUUGUAAUAGGUCUUGCUGUUGCUCAGUGUUUGGGUCUACAUUACUUUUGGAGCUGUGGCACUCCGCGUGAAGGCUUGCAGCUUCACCCUUGAAGCCAGUGAGACCAUGAACCCACCAGGAGGAGUGAAGGCUGUCUUGUCUUAAGUAGUCCUACCGGCUGUAACGGUUGUUGUGAAAGUCUGUAUCCUCACUCGUGAGCCAGCAAGACCAUGAAUCAACUAGGAGGAAGAAACUCCGAACAUAUGCGAACAUCAGGAGGAACAAACUCUGGAUACGCUGCUUUUAAAAGUUGUAAUGCUCACUGAGCAGGUUUGCGGCUUCAUUCUUGAAGUCAGUGAGACCAAGAACCCACCAAUUCUGGACACAAAAUCUGUUUGCCUGUUUAGAGGCAUACUACGGGGUUACAUUAGAAGCCCACCGAGAUAAUCCAAUACAAUCUUCUGAUCUCAAAAUCCUUCACUUAAUGACAUCUUUGGCAACUUGAAAUAAUAAUCACAGGUGUCUGACUUUUAAGGUGAGAGAACUAAGUUGUGUGACUCCAAAAGAGCAGAAACCAGGAACUGGAGAAUGGAGGACCAAAGAUCAGAGAACAAACGGUGGUUGCUGUUUGGGAAUCCCUGCAUCCUUUGAGAGUCCCCACUGGAGGCAGCGGGCCUAAAGCUCAAGUGGCUGUAGGCAGUUGAAAGGCUGCAGUGGGAAAGGAAAGGCCUGGCGGUGGGGGGGACAGAAGGCAGAAGCAGCAGGGACUCGAAGGGGUAUAUCAAAGUGCUCCCCUACAAGAGGACAGAAGGGGGAUCAAAGGUAGUAAAGUGAGGGAAGGAGCAAAAGCAGUGGGAAAGGAGUGGUCUUAAAGGGGUCAGUUGGGUGCGAACUUAUGUUUCCAAAAGAAGACAACGAAGUUCCACAUUAUCUUUAGUAAAAUCGUGCCAACAAGAAGGAGAUGGACAGAGGUGGCAAAGCAUAUAGUCAGCAGGGGUUAGGGAAGGUGGUUUCAGCCAACUGAGAAGUUCCUAUGGAAGAAACAGGAUCAAACAAAGCAGGCCUCACAAAGAGCCAGGAAACAUUUUCCAAUGCACAGUUAGGAAGUCAGACCCCACUUGAGAGAAAUAAUUGAGAAAAGAGACUUCCAGCCUAGAGAGUCAGGGAGUAAUCCUCACUAAAGACAGAGUCAGGAAGAAAAAUAUCCAGCCCAGCAGGCACCUUUCAAACAAAGAAGCCUGGGCCCCUAGCCCAGCUUCUACUUGCCUAGGCCUCUUACCCAACGUCUGUGUUUUUGUUGUUGUUGUUUUUGAGACACAGUCUUGCUCUUUUACCCAGGCUGGAGUGCAAUGGCACGAUCUCAGCUCACUGCAACCUCUGCCUCCCAGGUUCAAGCCAUUCUCCUGCUUCAGCCUCCCAAGUAGCUGGGAUUACAGGCGUGUGCCACCCCGCCUGGCUAAUUUUUAUAUUUUUAGUAGAGAUGGGGUUUCACCAUGUUGGCCAGGCUGGUCCCGAACUCCUGGCCUCGAGUGAUCCACCCGCCUCGGCCCCGCAAAGUGCUGGGAUUACAGGCGUGAGCCACUGUACUUGGCCCCAACUUCUGUUCAUCUGGGCCUCUAACGCAGCUGUUAGAGAGUGUACUCAGACUUGUAAGAAUCAAAAUUUGCCCUUACUGUGCUUCAUUUGUCCUGAGCAGUGGUUCAGGACUCUGACUCACCAGUGGAUCCCUGAUCAAUCAGUCAGGAGUGAAGAUACAGGCUUCAAAGGUAAAGAAGGAUGUGUUUGCUCCCACUUCCACCAUGAUUGUAAGUUUCCUGAGGCCUCCCAAGCCAUGAUGAACUGUUGUAAAUCUCUCACUCCAGCAUGGCCCACCGUAUACCUGGAGGAAAGGAAUGUCCCUAUCUGAAGACACAGAGACACCAAGAAGAAUCCGAACAGGACUUGCUAAGUUCCCUCCUGUUUAUAACCAUUAGCUAAUACCCUUUUACCCAAUCAUACUUCUGCAUGACUGUUCAUGAACAUACACAGUUUUCCCUGUUUCUUUGGAUCUUAAUUUCUGAAGGUUCCCGGGUCACAUAAAGCUUGUUUUGUUCUCUUUUGUUUGAGACAAGGUCUCACUCUGUCAGCCAGGCUGGAGUGCAGUGGUAUGAGCAUGGUUCGCUGCAGCUUUGACCUCCUCCCACUGGGGAUCUUCCCAAGCAAUCCUCCCACCUUAGCCUCCCAAGUAGCUGGAGCUACGGGUGCAUGCCACCACACCAAGCUCAUUUUUAAACUUUUUGUAGAGAUGGGGGUCUCGCUAUGUUGCUCAGGCUAGUCUUGAACUCCUGGGCUCAGGCAAUCAUCCUACCUCAGCCUCUAAAAGUGCUGGGAUUACAGGUGUGAGCCACUGCGCCCAGCCCCUGUCACAUAAAACUUACUUCAAAUAAAUUUGUUAAACUCUUC